UGUCUUGAAGCAGGUACUGGUUUAAGGU
rnacentral:piRNA from 1 species